GUUCGCGUGGCCCAAUGGAUAAGGCGCUCGCCUCCGGAGGGGGAUAUUCUCGGUUCGACCUCCAUCGUGAACG
rnacentral:tRNA from 1 species